rnacentral:rRNA from 1 species
GGCGAUCAGAUACCGCCCUAGUUCUGACCGUAAACGAUGCCAACUAGCGAUCCGCCGGCGGAUAUUUCGCCCUGGUGGGGAGCUUCCCGGAAACGAAAGUCUUCCGGUUCCGGGGGAAGUAUGGUUGCAAAGCUGAAACUUAAAGGAAUUGACGGAAGGGCACCACCAGGAGUGGAGCCUGCGGCUUAAUUUGACUCAACACGGGGAAACUCACCCGGCCCGGACACCGUGAGGAUUGACAGAUUGAAAGCUCUUUCUUGAUUCGGUGGUUGGUGGUGCAUGGCCGUUCUUAGUUCGUGGAGCGAUUUGUCUGGUUUAUUCCGAUAACGAGCGAGACUCUAGCUUACUAAAUAGUCUGGUCUUUAUUACUGAGGCCUGACUUCUUAGAGGGAUUUUCGGUGUUCAGCCGCACGAGAUUGAGCAAUAACAGGUCUGUGAUGCCCUUAGAUGUCCGGGGCUGCACGCGCGCUACACUGGCGAAAUCAGCGUGCUUUUCCUAUCUCGAAAGAGAUUGGUAAACCGAUGAAAAUUUGCCGUGAUUGGGAUCGGAAAUUGCAAUUAUUUUCCGUGAACGAGGAAUUCCAAGUAAGUGCGAGUCAUCAACUCGCGUUGAUUACGUCCCUGCCCUUUGUA